GAGGCUGUAGCUCAGUGGCAGAGCACAGGCUUAGCAUGCAUGAGGUCCUGGGUUCAAUCCCCAGUACCUCCA
rnacentral:tRNA from 1 species